GGGCCCGCACAAGCGGUGGAGCAUGUGGUUUAAUUCGAUGAUACGCGAGGAACCUUACCAGGUCUUAAAUGCAUAACGAACGAUUGGGAAACCAAUCUUUCUUCGGACGGAAUGCAAGGUGCUGCAUGGUUGUCGUCAGCUCGUGCCGUGAGGUGUCAGGUUAAGUCCUAUAACGAGCGCAACCCCUAUUCUUAGUUGCCAGCGGUUCGGCCGGGGACUCUAAGAAAACUGCCAGUGCAAGCUGUGAGGAAGGUGGGGAUGACGUCAAAUCAUCACGGCCCUUACGACCUGGGCCACACACGUGCUACAAUGGUAGGUACAAAGGGCAGCCACUUGGCGACAAGGAGCUAAUCUCUAAAACCUAUCUCAGUUCGGAUUGGAGUCUGAAACUCGACUCUAUGAAGCUGGAAUC
rnacentral:rRNA from 1 species